UGGGGAAUAUUGCACAAUGGACGAAAGUCUGAUGCAGCAACGCCGCGUGGAGGAUGACACAUUUCGGUGCGUAAACUCCUUUUAUAUGGGAAGAUAAUGACGGUACCAUAUGAAUAAGCACCGGCUAACUCCGUGCCAGCAGCCGCGGUAAUACGGAGGGUGCAAGCGUUACUCGGAAUCACUGGGCGUAAAGAGCGUGUAGGCGGAUAUAUAAGUCAGAAGUGAAAUCCAAUAGCUUAACAUUGAACUGCUUUUGAAACUGUAUAUCUAGAAUGUGGGAGAGGUAGAUGGAAUUUCUGGUGUAGGGGUAAAAUCCGUAGAGAUCAGAAGGAAUACCGAUUGCGAAGGCGAUCUACUGGAACAUUAUUGACGCUGAGACGCGAAAGCGUGGGGAGCGAAA
rnacentral:rRNA from 1 species